AGGAUUUGGUUAGGGUUUGAUUUAGGGUUUGGAUUAGGAUUUAGUUAGGAUUUGAUUUAGGAUUUGGAUUAGGAUUUGGUUAGGAUUUAGAGUUGGAUUGGGGUUUGGGUUAGGGUUUAGGAUUUGGUUAGGGUUUGAUUUAGAGUUUGGAUUAGGGUUUGAAUUAGGGUUUAGGUUUUGGUUAGGGUUUGAUUUAGGAUUUGGAUUAGGAUUUGAUUUAAGAUUUGAUUUAGGAUUUAGGGUUGGAUUAGAGUUUGGAUUAGGGUUUAGGAUUUGGUUUAGGAUUUGAUUUAGGAUUUGGUUUAGGAUUUGAUUUAGGAUUUGGUUUAGGAUUUGAUUUAGGAUUUAAUUUAAGGUUUGUUUAGGAUUUGACUUAGGAUUUAGGAUUUAUUAGAAUUUAAGAUUUAAUUAGGUUUGGUCUAAAGUUUGAGUGAAAUUCAAUAGGGUUUUAACUAGAAUUAAAUUAAGGUUGAAUUGACAUAUAUUUGAGUAAUAUUUGUGUUCAUUCUAAUAUUUCUUUAAGAAUUUUAUUGUUUGUUUGAAAUUUCUUUGAGUUGUUUUGAAUUUGAUUACGUUUAUUUACCAUUAUUAUAGUCUAAUUAGAGCAUUAUUAGUAUUCUAUUAGAAUUAGGAUUUUGUUAUCGCAAUUUCUAUUCUUCUUUCUACAGCCAGGUGCCUGAAGCAUUCUCAAGCAAGACUUCAUACAUUACGACACUGUGUAGCUAAAAUCUAGUACAAUUCCUAAUGAAGGUCUUAUUUUCUCCUCAAAAUCUUUUCUUUAUUUUACAAUAGAUGAGCGUUUAGGAUCUAAUAACCACAAAGUCUCUAUUUGAAUAGAUUCAGGAGCUUGUGCUUGUUUUUUAAAUGAAGAAUUUAUUAAAAAACAUAAUAUACAAUUAAUACAAAAAACUAAAUCCGUACACCUAAAAAUCAUAGAUGGUCAUCUGUUAUCUUUUGGAGAUAUUACUCAUGAAAUAUUUCCUGUA
rnacentral:lncRNA from 1 species